rnacentral:rRNA from 1 species
CGUAAAGCGCGCGUAGGCGGUUUUUAAGUCUGAUGUGAAAGCCCACGGCUCAACCGUGGAGGGUCAUUGGAAACUGAAAAACUUGAGUGCAGAAGAGGAAAGUGGAAUUCCAUGUGUAGCGGUGAAAUGCGCAGAGAUAUGGAGGAACACCAGUGGCGAAGGCGACUUUCUGGUCUGUAACUGACGCUGAUGUGCGAAAGCGUGGGGAUCAAACAGGAUUAGAUACCCUGGUAGUCCACGCCGUAAACGAUGAGUGCUAAGUGUUAGGGGGUUUCCGCCCCUUAGUGCUGCAGCUAACGCAUUAAGCACUCCGCCUGGGGAGUACGGCCGCAAGGCUUAAACUCAAAGGAAUUGACGGGGACCCGCACAAGCGGUGGAGCAUGUGGUUUAAUUCGAAGCAACGCGAAGAACCUUACCAAAUCUUGACAUCCUUUGACCGCUCUAGAGAUAGAGUCUUCCCCUUCGGGGGACAAAGUGACAGGUGGUGCAUGGUUGUCGUCAGCUCGUGUCGUGAGAUGUUGGGUUAAGUCCCGCAACGAGCGCAACCCUUAAGCUUAGUUGCCAUCAUUCAGUUGGGCACUCUAAGUUGACUGCCGGUGACAAACCGGAGGAAGG